GAUGAACGCUGGCGGCGUGCCUAAUACAUGCAAGUCGAGCGAACGGACGAGAAGCUUGCUUCUCUGAUGUUAGCGGCGGACGGGUGAGUAACACGUGGAUAACCUACCUAUAAGACUGGGAUAACUUCGGGAAGCCGGAGCUAAUACCGGAUAAUAUUUUGAACCGCAUGGUUCAAAAGUGAAAGACGGUCUUGCUGUCACUUAUAGAUGGAUCCGCGCUGCAUUAGCUAGUUGGUAAGGUAACGGCUUACCAAGGCAACGAUGCAUAGCCGACCUGAGAGGGUGAUCGGCCACACUGGAACUGAGACACGGUCCAGACUCCUACGGGAGGCAGCAGUAGGGAAUCUUCCGCAAUGGGCGAAAGCCUGACGGAGCAACGCCGCGUGAGUGAUGAAGGUCUUCGGAUCGUAAAACUCUGUUAUUAGGGAAGAACAUAUGUGUAAGUAACUGUGCACAUCUUGACGGUACCUAAUCAGAAAGCCACGGCUAACUACGUG
rnacentral:rRNA from 1 species